AAUGGAGUGCCUGAAUAAAGGGUUAUUUUGAUAGAAUAAAUCAUGUAAAUUUUUUUUACCUGCAUUA
rnacentral:tRNA from 1 species